rnacentral:rRNA from 1 species
GACGUAGGGGGCCAGCGUUGUUCGGAAUUACUGGGUGUAAAGGGUUCGUAGGCGGUGUGGCAAGUCGGGAGUGAAAUCUCUGGGCUCAACUCAGAGACUGCUUCCGAAACUGCUGUGCUGGAGUGCGGUAGAGGGUAGUGGAAUUCCCGGUGUAGCAGUGAAAUGCGUAGAGAUCGGGAGGAACACCAGUGGCGAAGGCGGCUACCUGGACCAGCACUGACACUGAAGCACGAAAGCGUGGGGAGCAAACAGG